rnacentral:rRNA from 1 species
CCUGGUAGUGGGGAUAACGUCCGGAAACGGACGCUAAUACCGCAUACGUCCUACGGGAGAAAGCAGGGGACCUUCGGGCCUUGCGCUAUCAGAUGAGCCUAGGUCGGAUUAGCUAGUUGGUGGGGUAAUGGCUCACCAAGGCGACGAUCCGUAACUGGUCUGAGAGGAUGAUCAGUCACACUGGAACUGAGACACGGUCCAGACUCCUACGGGAGGCAGCAGUGGGGAAUAUUGGACAAUGGGCGAAAGCCUGAUCCAGCCAUGCCGCGUGUGUGAAGAAGGUCUUCGGAUUGUAAAGCACUUUAAGUUGGGAGGAAGGGCAGUUACCUAAUACGUGAUUGUUUUGACGUUACCGACAGAAUAAGCACCGGCUAACUCUGUGCCAGCAGCCGCGGUAAUACAGAGGGUGCAAGCGUUAAUCGGAAUUACUGGGCGUAAAGCGCGCGUAGGUGGUUCGUUAAGUUGGAUGUGAAAUCCCCGGGCUCAACCUGGGAACUGCAUUCAAAACUGACGAGCUAGAGUAUGGUAGAGGGUGGUGGAAUUUCCUGUGUAGCGGUGAAAUGCGUAGAUAUAGGAAGGAACACCAGUGGCGAAGGCGACCACCUGGACUGAUACUGACACUGAGGUGCGAAAGCGUGGGGAGCAAAC